rnacentral:rRNA from 1 species
GCUUGCUUCUCUGAUGUUAGCGGCGGACGGGUGAGUAACACGUGGAUAACCUACCUAUAAGACUGGGAUAACUUCGGGAAACCGGAGCUAAUACCGGAUAAUAUUUUGAACCGCAUGGUUCAAAAGUGAAAGACGGUCUUGCUGUCACUUAUAGAUGGAUCCGCGCUGCAUUAGCUAGUUGGUAAGGUAACGGCUUACCAAGGCAACGAUGCAUAGCCGACCUGAGAGGGUGAUCGGCCACACUGGAACUGAGACACGGUCCAGACUCCUACGGGAGGCAGCAGUAGGGAAUCUUCCGCAAUGGGCGAAAGCCUGACGGAGCAACGCCGCGUGAGUGAUGAAGGUCUUCGGAUCGUAAAACUCUGUUAUUAGGGAAGAACAUAUGUGUAAGUAACUGUGCACAUCUUGACGGUACCUAAUCAGAAAGCCACGGCUAACUACGUGCCAGCAGCCGCGGUAAUACGUAGGUGGCAAGCGUUAUCCGGAAUUAUUGGGCGUAAAGCGCGCGUAGGCGGUUUUUUAAGUCUGAUGUGAAAGCCCACGGCUCAACCGUGGAGGGUCAUUGGAAACUGGAAAACUUGAGUGCAGAAGAGGAAAGUGGAAUUCCAUGUGUAGCGGUGAAAUGCGCAGAGAUAUGGAGGAACACCAGUGGCGAAGGCGACUUUCUGGUCUGUAACUGACGCUGAUGUGCGAAAGCGUGGGGAUCAAACAGGAUUAGAUACCCUGGUAGUCCACGCCGUAAACGAUGAGUGCUAAGUGUUAGGGGGUUUCCGCCCCUUAGUGCUGCAGCUAACGCAUUAAGCACUCCGCCUGGGGAGUACGACCGCAAGGUUGAAACUCAAAGGAAUUGACGGGGACCCGCACAAGCGGUGGAGCAUGUGGUUUAAUUCGAAGCAACGCGAAGAACCUUACCAAAUCUUGACAUCCUUUGACAACUCUAGAGAUAGAGCCUUCCCCUUCGGGGGACAAAGUGACAGGUGGUGCAUGGUUGUCGUCAGCUCGUGUCGUGAGAUGUUGGGUUAAGUCCCGCAACGAGCGCAACCCUUAAGCUUAGUUGCCAUCAUUAAGUUGGGCACUCUAAGUUGACUGCCGGUGACAAACCGGAGGAAGGUGGGGAUGACGUCAAAUCAUCAUGCCCCUUAUGAUUUGGGCUACACACGUGCUACAAUGGACAAUACAAAGGGCAGCGAAACCGCGAGGUCAAGCAAAUCCCAUAAAGUUGUUCUCAGUUCGGAUUGUAGUCUGCAACUCGACUACAUGAAGCUGGAAUCGCUAGUAAUCGUAGAUCAGCAUGCUACGGUGAAUACGUUCCCGGGUCUUGUACACACCGCCCGUCACACCACGAGAGUUUGUAACACCCGAAGCCGGUGGAGUAACCUUUUAGGAGCUAGCCGUCGAAGGUGGGACAAAUGAUUGGGGUGAAGUCGUAACAAGGUAGCCGUAUCGGAAGGUGCGGCUGGAUCACCUCCUUU